rnacentral:rRNA from 1 species
UACGUAGGGUGCAAGCGUUGUCCGGAAUUAUUGGGCGUAAAGAGCUCGUAGGCGGCUUGUCACGUCGGCUGUGAAACCCGGGCUCAACCCGGGCCUGCAGUCGAUACGGGCAUCACUGGAGUUCGGCAGGGGAGACUGGAAUUCCUGGUGUAGCGGUGAAAUGCGCAGAUAUCAAGUGGAACACCAGUGGCGAAGGCGACUACCUGGCCUGUUCUUGACGCUGAGGCGCGAAAGCUAGGGGAGCAAACGGG